CCUACGGGGGGCAGCAGUGGGGAAUAUUGCACAAUGGGGGAAACCCUGAUGCAGCGACGCCGCGUGAGUGAAGAAGUAAGUCGGUACGUAAAGCUCUAUCAGCAGGGAAGAAAUACUGCCCUUACGGUCAGCAGAAGGUACCUGAGUAAGAAGACCCGGCUAACUACGUGCCAGAAGCCGCGGUAAUACGUAGGGGGCCAGCGUUAUCCGGAUUUACUGGGUGUGAAGGGAGCGUACACGGUGCGCCAAGGCUGGCGUGAAAUGCCGCGGCUUAACUGCGGAACUGCUUUGGAAAGUGGCGAACUCGAGUGCGGGAGGGGUAAGCGGAAUUCCUAGUGUAGCGGUGAAAUGCGUAGAUAUUAGGAGGAACACCGGUGGCGAAGGCGGCUUACUGGACCGUAACUGACGUUGAGGCUCGAAAGCGUGGGGAGCAAACAGGAUUAGAUACCCUUGUAGUC
rnacentral:rRNA from 1 species